UUAAUGUCCAGGAGAGUGGCCCUCCGCAUGGAGGGUUGACUAGAGAUUUAUCGGUAUGGGAUGAGCUUGCGUCCGAUUAGCUAGUUGGCGGGGCAACGGCCCACCAAGGCGACGAUCGGUAGCCGGCCUGGGAGGGUGAUCGGCCACAUUGGGACUGAGAUACGGCCCAGACUCCUACGGGAGGCAGCAGUAGGGAAUAUUGCACAAUGGGGGAAACCCUGAUGCAGCAACGCCACGUGUGGGAAGAAGCAUUUCGGUGUGUAAACCACUGUCAUGAGGGAAUAAGGCCCGCCUCCGGGCGGGAUUGAAUGUACCUUGAGAGGAAGCACCGGCAAACUUCGUGCCAGCAGCCGCGGUAAUACGAGGGGUGCAAGCGUUGUUCGGAAUUACUGGGCGUAAAGGGAGCGUAGGCGGAGAUUCAAGCGGAUUGUACAAUCCCGGGGCCCAACCCCGGCUCUGCAGUCCGAACUGGAUCUCUUGGAUAGUUCAGGGGCAGGCGGAAUUCCUGGUGUAGCGGUGGAAUGCGUAGAGAUCAGGAAGAACACCGAUGGCGAAGGCAGCCUGCUGGGGACUUAUCGACGCUGAGGCUCGAAAGUGCGGGUAGCAAACAGGAUUAGAUACCCUGGUAGUCCGCACCGNAAACAAUGCAUACUGGGUGUCCGGGGGUUCCCCCGGGUACCGUAGCCAACGCGUUAAGUAUGCCGCCUGGGGAGUACGUAUGCAAGUAUGAAAACUCAAA
rnacentral:rRNA from 1 species